CAAAACGACUCUCGGCAACGGAUAUCUCGGCUCUCGCAUCGAUGAAGAACNUANUCGAAAUGCGAUACUUGGUGUGAAUUGCAGAAUCCCGUGAACCAUCGAGUCUUUGAACGCAA
rnacentral:rRNA from 1 species